rnacentral:tmRNA from 1 species
GGGGGUGACCUAGCUUCGACAAAUGUCGUUGAUCCGAAAGUCGCAGGCAGAGGUUGGUCAGGGCCUCUUCAAAACCGGACCAAACAACAACUGCCAACACUCAGUUGGCCUGGGCCACUGCCUAAACCGCAGUGAGCACACGCUGGUCCUUGACGCCUGCUAGAGGGUCGCCAGUGUAAUGAGCAGGAUGCGGUCCUUCCCUGUUAUUCCGUGGGCGGGGGCCUAAGACCGAACGGGGUUAGCCUAAGGAGCACGCGUCCAUCGGUUUUCCUUGGGCGAAAUUGAGGAUGGGCUAAGCCUGUAGUGACUUCGGCCGGCGCCGUUUGGACGCGGGUGCAAAUCCCGCCACCUCCACCA